AAAACGGCCCUUUUCAGGGCCACUACAUCUUUUUGAUACAAUUAUUU
rnacentral:ncRNA from 1 species